rnacentral:rRNA from 1 species
GAUGAACGCUAGCUACAGGCUUAACACAUGCAAGUCGAGGGGCAGCGCAGUGUAGCAAUACAUGGGCGGCGACCGGCGCACGGGUGCGUAACGCGUAUCCAACCUUCCCGUUACUCAGGGAUAGCCUUCCGGCGGAGAGGGAUGGGGAUGCGUUCCAUUAGGUAGUAGGCGGGGUAACGGCCCACCUAGCCGACGAUGGAUAGGGGUUCUGAGAGGAAGGUCCCCCACACUGGAACUGAGACACGGUCCAGACUCCUACGGGAGGCAGCAGUGAGGAAUAUUGGUCAAUGGCCGAGAGGCUGAACCAGCCAAGUAGCGUGAAGGAUGAAGGAUCUAUGGUUUGUAAACUUCUUUUAUACGGGAAUAAAGUGUGGUACGUGUACCAUUUUGUAUGUACCGUAUGAAUAAGCAUCGGCUAACUCCGUG